rnacentral:rRNA from 1 species
UACGUAGGGUGCGAGCGUUGUCCGGAAUUAUUGGGCGUAAAGAGCUUGUAGGCGGUUUGUCGCGUCUGCUGUGAAAAUCCGGGGCUCAACCCCGGACUUGCAGUGGGUACGGGCAGACUAGAGUGUGGUAGGGGAGACUGGAAUUCCUGGUGUAGCGGUGAAAUGCGCAGAUAUCAGGAGGAACACCGAUGGCGAAGGCAGGUCUCUGGGCCACUACUGACGCUGAGAAGCGAAAGCAUGGGGAGCGAACAGGAUUAGAUACCCCCGUA